UCUGGCGUAGGCAGGUGGCUACAGCUCCGAUUCGACCCUUAGCCUGGGAACCUCCAUAUGCCGCGGGUGCAGCCCUAGAAAAAAAGACGACAGUAAAAUAACUUCUUACUUUAAAAUAAUCAGGGAGCAAAGAAUCAUUACUGGAACCAUGAUCUGCCCCUUGUAAAGCUAGCUCGACUACUUCACAAGUGAAUGUAGGGAUCAGGUACCUCGAAUUGAACCAGAGGCCUGGAGCUGGCCUUUCAGAGGAGAGAAGCCCUCCCACUGGACCGGCGCUUAGACGUUCAGGAGUGUUAUGAUAUAUUCUUCCAACGUUGACACUAGCCUCAUCGGCAGCUCUUCGGACGUCAUUCCCCUCCCCUCCCUCUUCACGUCUCAUUAUCUCCCUCCAGCCCUAGUAUAAGGGGAGGAAGAUAAAAUUUUCCAUGGAAAAAGCAUGGAAACUUCUUGAUGGUGCUGUACAAAUGAGAUCGCAGCUGUCCCUGAAAUUGCAGCAUUACACAGGAGGGAUUAAAGCCACCCAGAGACCGCUAUCCGUUUGUUCAUCUUGGAAUGUUUAUUUCGACAAGACAGAGUCAUGCCUCCUUGAUGUACUUAGCCAAGGGUUUUCUCAGUCCAAGCAGGGAGUGCCCAGAUUUUCUGGUGACACCAAGCCUAGGAACUAGGUAGUAGCGAGUAGAUUGUUUUCUUCUCAGCAACUAUUAUUAACUGACAGGACUAGUUUUUCAUGUUUUGAAGCUGAAAGAGAAUCUCAGUCAAAUGUCACUUCACUGUGCAGUCAUUAUGGUGAAGUUGACUUGUAAGUAAGUAUGAAAUGCAGGAUUCCUCUUUGAAAAAAUGCCUCCCGUAGAACAAGAAAGGCCAUUUUGAGUACUGGGAUUUUGGUGUUAAUUUUGUAAUUUAAAAUAAAGGGGUCACUGUCAAUCAUUUUUGUAUUUAAAAGACUGGUUUAAUGGUCAAGGAUAAUAAGGGUUUAAAGUUUAGUGUUUUACAUAUCUUUUCUAUUAUUUCCAAAUGUAUUAGAAUUCAGUUAAAAUCAUCCUAAAAGGCUAAUUACAAGUGUAUAUUAAUUGGGCAUCUUAUUUUAUAAUGAACCUUUGUUUCUGAAGUGUAUUAGAGACUUCUCAUUGUAAAGUUGGAGUGGGUAGAUGAAUAAUGACAGGUGAUAGUGGCCUAGUGCAUGGUUGCCUCUUUUCUGCUUUUCUCUUUUGGCUGGCCCUCCCUACGUGGAGUUUAUGGGCCAAGGAGCAGAUCUGAGCUGCAGUUGCAACCUACGCCACUGCUGUGGCAACAUUGGAUCCUUUAACCCACUGUCCUGGGCUGGGGAUCAAACCUGCGUGCCAGGGCUCCAGAGACACCCCUGAUCCUGUUGCACCACAGCGGGAACUCCACGGUGGUCGCUGUUUUGAAAACCAAAACCAAAACCCCUCUCCAAGGCAUCCUUGUCCCGAAGCUGAAGAAGGCAGGCACCGAGUAGUUACACAGGGAACAUGUCCAUGGACUUGGCUAGGAAGGCUGGACUUCUCACUUGGCAGGGGCUGUGGGAUUGGCUUUCUUUGUCUUACAAGGUUUCCAAGGCUCCUGCUACUUUCUAGAGCAGCGGCGAUACCACAGGAGUCCGCCACCGCCACCGUCUCUGCCAGCGAGUCCCAUUUCUGAGUAGUUACCCUAAUGCUUCUAAUACGGCAGGAAAUUAAUAUGGCAGUAAAGGAAUAGAGCAUAAUAGUGACUGAUUUAGUCUCUGCUGAUUUAACUUCUGUUUAUUAAGUUAAUAGCAAAUUAUAUGUUUUGCAGUAUGUAGAAUUCUAAGGUUUUUCAGUAAGUUUCUCCAAACUACAAUGUUGAAACAAACUGAGAUUAUUUAAGGAGGUUUUGAAAUGUCAUUAUCUUUGCAUGUCUUUAACUUUAGGAAGUAUUUAUUAGACAUGUUACAGGCACAGCAGUGUUGCAGGGUUCUCUCUGUGAGUGUAGCUAGAAAACGGAGGCUGUCUCAUGAAAGAUUGGAUUUUUAAAAUGAAGUGGGGAGUUCCUGCUGUGUGGUUCAGUGGGUUAAGAACCCUACAUAGUCUCUGUGAGGAUGUGGGUUUGAUCCCUGGGUCUCGCUCAAUGGGUUAAGGAUCCCGCGUUGCUGUGGCUGUGGUGUAGGCCGGCAGCUGUAGCUCCGAUUCGACCCCUGGCCUGGGAACGUCCAUAUGCCGCAGGUGCAGCCCUAAAAAGCAAAAUCAAACCAAACCAAACCAAUCGUGUGUGCGUAUAUGUGUGUUGUAUGUGUGUAUAUAUAUGUACACGUAUAUGUAUAUACAUGUGUGUAUAUAUACAUUCAUUUUUGGAAGUUGAAGAGAAACUUCCAAAGCAUACUUUCACAAAAUACUAAAGCCAAGGUCAUUAAAAAAGUCUUUUUAAAAGAUUCAGCUGAAUUCUAGUGGGUUUGUCUUAAUUACAUCACUAAUGAACUACUGUGUCUGUGCCAGGUUUGAGCCGGUGCCCUCUGGCUUAAGAAAAUUAUGUUAUUAUUGUUUGCAAUAAUAAAG